CUAGUCCUACUCUCUUUCUCUCUUUCUCCCAAGCCGCAUCUGUAUUGCAGAUUACCGCUUCCCCAUUUUGUUGCAUUCUAUUAGAUGAUGCCGUCUCCCUCUCCUUCUGCAACAAGGAGAGGUAUAGCUUCUCUUUUCAAAAACCAGAGCGUUUCUUGAGUUCCAGAUUGCCCAGCAGAUCCAGGGUAGCACAUUGCCUUUGAUUCCUGUCGGAGGAAGGCCGAUCGCUUGACGGUGCUUUGUGAAUGCUUUCUCAAAACUGUCUUCAUCCAUUAUAUGUGGAGCUUUAGCCAAUGGUUUUCCCCUAAGGGGAAGGCAUUCUGUAUGAUUGACCACAUGAACAUCUUCAUUUUAGGAGAGAAAGAUCCCCUCCAUACAUCUCCCAGCCAAUUGAAUUCCCCCGGGCUUGCUUGUCUUGUCUGUUCUAGAGGCCGUGAAACAACAGAGUUAUACCCCGAUCUUGUUGAGUAGACUCCUGAAAGCAAUGGGAGCCAUAUGACUGAAUCCUCAGCUCCCAUCUUGCUUGGAUGAAGGCACUGGAUUUGGCUUGCCAAAGAAGGCUGACAGGGAGUAAGAAGCAAGACAUGGUGUAAGUUGGAACUGCUGUGAGUGUGGACUUGAGCAUUGUUAGCUUGCCAGCUCUGGACAAAAAUCUCGUAGACAGGCUCUGAGCUCUCUGCCUGAUUUUAUCUACUAGGGAGGUGAAGAGAUCUUUCUUCCUUCUUCCAAAGUGUUCUGGGGGCGUUUUUGAGGAGAAGGUGAUGGAUGAUUUGGAUUUGUUGAUUCGUUGACCAGACGCUUCUCCGUAUCUUGCGAGUAUCUUCACUAGAGUGUCGCAGGUCUUUGCAGAUGAUUGACAGAAGAACAUGGUAUCAUCUGCAAAGAGCAGAUGAUUGAUUCGUGGGCAUCCUCUAGCUACCCUUACUCCCUGAAGCGAGCCAUCUCUUGCUGCAUUUUUACAGAGCCCUGACAAGACCUCUUCACACAGGAUAAACAGGUACCCGGUGACGAAGAAGAGCUGAAUUUCUCUUGACACUGCAUCUCCCACCGUGUCCCAGUUAGUUUGAAAGAAACUAGCUGAGAAUCCAUCAGGGCCUGGUGCCUUAUCAGGGUGAAUCGCGAAGGGUUGGAGAGCUUCAUUGACUAUAUCUUCUCCAUUCGAAUUGCUGGCUGUGAACAGUUGGGAGUAAUAUUUGCAAAUGACUUCCGAGAUUUGCGUUUUUUCGUAGACAGGUAUCCCAUCUUCAUCAUCAACCACUGUCAUUAUGUUUCUUGCUUUUCUUCCUUUGGUGACGGCGUGAAAGAAUCCGGAAUUUGAAUCGUGAACUGAGUCAUCUAUUUGACUUUGUUUUGCGUUAUUAUUUUGUCUGGCACAUUCUGUUUUCUUUUUCUUCUGAGAUCGUCAGGUUCAUUGAUAGCAAAUGAAGAGAAUGAGACUGAAUAUAUAGAGGUGUCUAGUUUAUUAGUUAAUUGUUACCAAUUUUAGUAUUUCUAUUUGAGAUUUUCAACGUUUGAAAGUGC